CUAAUCUGUUUAACCCCUUCGUGACAAAGGCUGAUUUUACUUUUUGUACCCUUCGUGACAAUGGCUGUUUUAUCGUUUCUGCGGUGUUUGGCUUUCUUCAGACACCAAAUUUUUUUCAUAUGAUGUAAUUUCCUAUAAUAAAAAUAAUAAAAUAUGACGAAAAAUUGAAAAAAAAACACAUUUUCUCACUUUUAUUUGAAAAAUCUUUUAUUCAUCAUAAAAAACUACUGAAAAAACCUGCUAAAUAGAUUCUACUAUUUGUCCCGAGUUUAGAAAUACCCAAUGUUUUUAUGUUUUUUUGCUUUCUUCUACACGUUAUGGGGCAAUAAGUACAAGUAGCGUUUUGCUAAUUCAAAACCAUUUUUCUCUGAAUCUGGUAAUUCUGUCUCUAUGUGGUAUUUGGGGCAUCUUUGAAGCCAGCAAAUUAAAUUUACCCCACCAAACCAUAUAUUUUUGAAAACUAGACACCCCAGGGUAUUUUAGAUGCUGAUAGUUUAACCCUUUCCAUGCACUAAUCCUACCACCAACCCUUGUCAAAGUUUGGGAUAGUAAUUGUUUUUGGUGUUUUUUUCACAUACUUUGUACUUCAGGUGUGAAAUUACAGCUCCUGGUAUAUGUUGCUGUCACACAA